rnacentral:piRNA from 1 species
UGCCACGGAUCUGAGCGAUGACUCAGGGA